rnacentral:lncRNA from 1 species
UCCUAACUCUGAGUGAUUUUCUACCAGAUUAUGGAACAGUCGGCUACGAGUUUGCCAUAACGAGCGUUUGUGAUCUUUGCAGAAGUGUUGAGGAAGAGGUCCAGAGACGACAGAGUACACUUUCGAAUAUUCAUAACACACACUAUAGCACUGCCGGAAACACGCUGAUAGAAAAUGCCGAAAAAAAACGUGUUGGCAUAUUCAAAAUUUCUAUCGAAAGAAUGGAGCAUGCUGCAGACCGGAGAAAAGUAAGAGGUUUAUACGAAGGGCACAUACAGAACCUUGUUACACUAUGGUCAGCAGAAAUAGAAAACAAAAGAACGAUUUCUCUUCCUCCCGCUAUUGGCAUAGUGAGAAGUGCAGCGACUGUCAUGACCGCUACUAUCGAAGUAAUAGAUGGAAAUCAUACACUAGCAGCUGCAAAACGGGUCCUAAAUAUCUAUCCUAAUGAGACAUGUUUGAAAGAAAGGUAAACUUUUUUAUUUCUUCUACAGUGCAUUAAUGUCUGAAUUAUCCUGAUAUCCAAAAUGUACGCAACAACUUCUAUUAAGGUCUA